AAAUUGAAGAGUUUGAUCAUGGCUCAGAUUGAACGCUGGCGGCAGGCCUAACACAUGCAAGUCGAACGGUAACAGGAAACAGCUUGCUGUUUCGCUGACGAGUGGCGGACGGGUGAGUAAUGUCUGGGAAACUGCCUGAUGGAGGGGGAUAACUACUGGAAACGGUAGCUAAUACCGCAUAACGUCGCAAGACCAAAGAGGGGGACCUUCUGGCCUCUUGCCAUCGGAUGUGCCCAGAUGGGAUUAGCUAGUAGGUGGGGUAACGGCUCACCUAGGCGACGAUCCCUAGCUGGUCUGAGAGGAUGAACAG
rnacentral:rRNA from 1 species